UGGGGAAUCUUGCGCAAUGGGCGAAAGCCUGACGCACCCAUGCCGCGUGAAUGAUGAAGGUCUUAGGAUUGUAAAAUUCUUUCACCGGGGACGAUAAUGACGGUACCCGGAGAAGAAGCACCGGCUAACUUCGUGC
rnacentral:rRNA from 1 species